CACAAGCGUGGAGCAUGUGGUUAAUUCGACGCAACGCGAAGAACCUUACCAGGCUUGACAUCCCCUGACCGCGUAUGAAGUACGUUUUCACCUCGGGUGACAGGGAGACAGGUGGUGCAUGGUUGUCGUCAGCUCGUGUCGUGAGAUGUUGGGUUAAGUCCCGCAACGAGCGCAACCCCUAUUGUUAGUUGCCAUCAUUCAGUUGGGCACUCUAGCGAGACUGCCGGUAAUAAACCGGAGGAAGGUGGGGAUGACGUCAAAUCAUCAUGCCCCUUAUGACCUGGGCUACACACGUGCUACAAUGGUUGGUACAACGAGUUGCGAGUCGGUGACGGCGAGCUAAUCUCUUAAAGCCAAUCUCAGUUCGGAUUGUAGGCUGCAACUCGCCUACAUGAAGUCGGAAUCGCUAGUAAUCGCGGAUCAGCACGCCGCGGUGAAUACGUUCCCGGGCCUU
rnacentral:rRNA from 1 species